GGUGGUUCUCAGGUGACACACCCCGGAAUUGGGGCACCUCCUCUCUGGUUUCAGGUGUGUCACCCGAGAAUUACA
rfam:Myotis davidii contig110721, whole genome shotgun sequence.